rnacentral:rRNA from 1 species
AUCUUUUCUCAAGACUACUCCAUGCACGUCUAGUACAAACUAAAUGAUGGUGAAACUGCAAAUGGCUCAUUACAACGGUUAUGAUGUACCCGGGAGUUCCGAUGGAUAUUUCCAGUAACACUAGAACUAAUACAUGUCCCUGCGUUUAUUAGUUUCGCACAGUCCGUCGCUGAGUCAUGGUAAACAGUUGAUCGACUCGACGUCCCGGAACAGUUUCCGCCCCAUCAGCUUCGAUGGUUGGGUAUUGGCCUACCAUUGCAACAACGGGUAACGAGGAAUUAGGGUUUGAUUUCGGAGAGGGAGCCUGAGAAACGGCUACCACAUCUACGGAUGGCAGCAGGCGCGCAAAUUACCCAAUGCAGACACUGUGAGGUAGUGACGAGAAAUAAUAAAGCGGGACUUCUGUUUCGCUAUUAUAAUGAGGAAUAACCAAAGGUCAUUCCGAUUAGCAACUGAUGGGAAAGUCUGGUGCCAGCAGCCGCGGUAAUACCAGCGUCAGU